GAUGAAGAAUGCAGCGAAAUGCGAUAAGUAGUGUGAAUUGCAGAAUUCAGUGAAUCAUCGAAUCUUUGAACGCACAUUGCGCCCUUUGGUAUUCCUUAGGGCAUGCCUGUUCGAGCGUCAUUUAAACCUUCAAGCUAAGCUUGGUGUUGGGUGACUGUCCGCUUCACGGCGGACUCGCCUCAAAAUUAUUGGCGGCCGGUACAUUGGCUUCGAGCGCAGCAGAAACGCGAACUCGGGCCCGUCGUAUUGGCUCCCAGAAGCUAUCUUCACAAUUUUGACCUCGGAUCAGGUAGGGAUACCCGCUGAACUUAAGCAUAUCAAUAAGCGGAGGA
rnacentral:misc_RNA from 1 species